UCGGCGCCUCUAUAAAGGGGUCCCUCCCCAGGUGAGGGGUCAGGUGUGGGCCCUCCUGCUCCAUAUUGAGAAGGUCAAGUCCACCCACCAGGGGCUCUACGAGACAAUGAAGGAGCGGGCCCAGCUAUCCUGCAAAGACAUCAGACAAAUCGACCUGGACGUGAACCGGACCUACAGGAACCACAUCAUGUUCCGGGACCGCUAUGGCGUCGGGAGGUGGGCUACUGUCAGGGGAUGAGCGACAUCGUGGGACUCCUCCUGGUGUUCCUGGGUGAGGAAGACGCCUUCUGGGCCCUGGCCCAGCUGAUGAGCUUGGAGACCCACGCCA